GUCAGUGUUUGCUGGGCUGGGCUCUCUAACCCGCCGUGAGCCCUGUGCUCCGGAGCCCAGGCUGAGCUCCCAUCUGCCUGAGCGCUCCAGGGAUCCACCAGCGCGGUGGACAAAGGGGACAAAGCCUCCGCAUCCCUGGGCUCGUCCGGGCACAGCUGCGGCGGCGGUGGCCGGGAAGAGUCCCGGUCAGCGCCCGGGUCGUCCGGACUCACGCCCCGCCGGCAGGAACGACAUCUCCGGCGGGCCCGCGAGGGCCGUGCCCCUCUCCCGCGUGCCGGGGCCGGCCCCGGCGCAGCGAAGGGAGCGAGGGAGGAGUGGGAAGCGGCGGUCCCGACCGCGGCAGUUGGAAUAUUCCAAUUUUGUGGCCAGGGAGUCUGACAUUCUAGAAAAAGAGGAAAUCAGAAAUAAUAGAGGAAGGAAGGAGUCUCAUAGAGGUAAGUAUGAUUAUGGCAUCAUGAAGGAAGAAGAGACUGGCAUCCAAGAGGAAGAAGAGAGUCUAUCAUCACAGAGGAAGUAGAGAUUGUGGCAUCACAGAGUUAAGAGGGAAUCUGGCAUCAUAAAGAAAGGAGUGAGUCUGGCAGGAUUGAGGAAGGAAGCAAGAAAGGAAGGAAUCCGCAAUAAUAGAGGAAAGAGGGAGUCUAGCAUCGUAGAAAAAGGAGGAAAUCUGGAAAAAUGGAGGAAGGAGGGAGUCUCAUCACAGAGGUAGGAUGGAGUCUGACAUCAUGAAGGAAGGAGAGAGUCUGGCAUGAUUGAGGAAAGGAAGGAAGGAAUCUACCAUAAUACAGGUAAGAGGGAGUCUGACAUCAAAGAGGACAAGAGGGAGCAUGGCAUAGAGGUAAGAGGGAGUCUGGAAUCAUAGUGGAAAGAAGGAGACUUAGAAAGGUAAGAGGGAUUGUGGCAUCAUGAAGGAAGGAGAGAAUCUGGCAUGCAAGAGGAAGAAGAGAGUCUGGUAUCAUUGAGGAAGGAAGGAGGCUAUCAUCAUAGAGAUAAUAGCUUGUCUGGCAUCAUAGAGGAAGGAGGGAGUCUGGAAUUGUAGAGGAAGGAGGGAGGCUGGAAUUAUAGAGGUAAGAGGGAUUGUGGCAUCAUGAAGGAAGGAAAUGAGUCUGGGAUCAGAAAGGAAGAAGAUAGUCUGGCAUCAUCUAAAGAAGGGAGAAGUUGGUCAUAGUACAGGUAAGAGAGAGUCUGGCAUCAUAGAGGCAGGAGGGAGUCUUGUGUCAAAGAGGAAGGAGGGAGUGGCAUCAAACAGGAAGGGAGAAGUGUGGAAUCGUAGAGGUGGGAGGGAGUCUCAUCAUAGAGAUAAGAGGCAUUGUGGCAUCAUGAAGAAGAGAGUCUGGCAUCACUGAGGAAGGAGGGAAGGAAGGAGUUUAUCAUAAUACACAUAAGAGGGAGUCUGGCAUCAGAGAGGAUGUAGGGAGCCAGCCAUCACACAGACAAGGGGUUUCUGGAAUCAUGAAGGAAAGAGAGAUUCUGGCAUCCUAGAGGAAGGAGGGAAUCUCAUUACAGAGGUAAGAGGGAGU
rnacentral:lncRNA from 1 species